GAUAAGGUGGGGGGAAAUGCGGGAGAGAGUGAGAGAGCGAGGCAACUCAGGGCUCAAAACAGUCAAAUUCAAAUUAAAAGGUCAAGACACGAUUCAGGGGAAGCGAGACAUGAGACAAGGAAACGGAAUCUGGAGAAUAUUUUGUCUUUCCGGUGGCCUCACGUUUCCCCCGGUGCCGAGCCUCGGGUUUCGAUUUUCCAAAGGACUGGAGCCGGGGCGGGAAAGGGACCUGAGCCCCGGGCGCCCUGGCGUGGAGUGAGGAGACUGGAUCGCUUCUAGGGAGGCCCAAGCCGGCGGCGGCUGCUAGAAGACGACUUCGGAAAGAAAUCCGCGAUUUUUUGCAUCCAGAGGGCGAGAGAGAAGGCUCAGGGGUUCCUGAACCCCAGGAAAAACUGGAAGAAAAUGUUUGUAAUGCCAAGGGAGAUUUGAAAUGCUUUCGUGUUUUCAUUUGCAGGGGUCGCAGUGGACUCGGUACAGGGGGUUGGCCCGGGCAAGGUUAGCCUGUUUAGGCCCCAGAUGAGACUUGGCCGGCCGGGGCGGCAGUCAAUCCAGGGAGCCAUUUGUCCCACCACCCACCCCGCGGGAAACGCGGAGACUUUAUAGCCACUCUGUUUGUAUUAUCUGCAUAAGUCUUUCCCCACCAGUUUGAUCGAAACUGUUCGCUUUUACGAGGACCCAACGAAAAUUCCCCGUCAUAUUUAUCAGCCGAGGAUAAAAAUUUAGUAUGGGAACUGAUAUUUCCUCAUUUAUGGGGCGAUGAAAUUAAAGACCAAAGCAAUUGAGAAUUAUAUGGCUUUGGGGGGUUCCCUCCCCCCUCUUUCACGUCUCCUUUAUUUUCCUGCCUGGUGUGCCUGUCCCUGGAGUUUGACGUCCCAGUCCCUUGCCCUUGCUCCCCAUUUUGGGGGUCUGCUGGGCCCUGUCCCCCACACCCAGGGGUCACUUGACCACCUCAGGCUUUUCCUGGUCUUUCUCUCAGUGUUGGAAGCUGGGG